rnacentral:rRNA from 1 species
UACGAAGGGGGCUAGCGUUGCUCGGAAUCAUUGGGCGUAAAGGGUGCGUAGGCGGCGCGGUAAGUCGGGUGUGGAAUCUCGGAGCUUAACUCCGAAACUGCAUUCGAUACUGCCGUGCUUGAGGACUGGAGAGGAGACUGGAAUUUACGGUGUAGCGGUGAAAUGCGUAGAUAUCUGGAGGAACACCGGUGGCGAAGGCGGCAUCCUGGACCAACACUGACACUGAGGAGCGAAAGCCAGGGGAGCAAACGGG